AUAAUCCCUCAUUCGCAUUCUGUUUGGAGAAAACCUAGCCGCAGACCAUGGAUUCUCAUCUUCAUCUUUAAGUAAACUGAAAGAAAGGGGAACUCGCCAAAUUUGAAGCCAUCGACUGUGGAAAACCACUCGAUGAAGCAACAUAGUUUUGGAGCGUUUUGGGCUUUUGUCAAACGUGUCAAGGCCGGUUAAGCCAGUCAGCACGUUAAUUGAGGAGUUGCUUGUGCUGAAAAUAUACAAAAUGGAGAUUGCUGAAGGUAUAAAAGAUAACCCGAUAUAUUUAGUUAUUUUUUUACCUUUAUAUUAAUUUUAUAGAUAACGUGUGACACGGGUCGGAUCAA